rnacentral:rRNA from 1 species
AACGUAGGUGGCGAGCGUUAUCCGGAUUUACUGGGCGUAAAGGGUGUGUAGGCGGAAGUCCCAGUGGUGUAUGAAAGCUCCCGGCUUAACCGGGAAGGGUUAUGCCAGACUGGACAUCUAGAGUGUGGGAGAGGGACGUGGAAUUCCGGGUGUAGUGGUAAAAUGCGUAGAGAUCCGGAGGAACACCAGGGGCGAAGGCGGCGUCCUGGCCCAUAACUGACGCUCAUCCACGACAGCAUGGGGAGCGAACGGG